rnacentral:rRNA from 1 species
GUAGGUGGCAAGCGUUGUCCGGAAUUAUUGGGCGUAAAGCGCGCGCAGGCGGUUCUUUAAGUCUGAUGUGAAAGCCCACGGCUCAACCGUGGAGGGUCAUUGGAAACUGGAGAACUUGAGUACAGAAGAGGAAAGCGGAAUUCCACGUGUAGCGGUGAAAUGCGUAGAGAUGUGGAGGAACACCAGUGGCGAAGGCGGCUUUCUGGUCUGUAACUGACGCUGAGGCGCGAAAGCGUGGGGGAGCAAACAGGAUUAGAUACCCUGGUAGUCCACGCCGUAAACGAUGAGUGCAAGUGUUAGGGGGUUUCCGCCCCUUAGUGCUGCAGCUAACGCAUUAAGCACUCCGCCUGGGAGUACGGCCGCAAGGCUG